UGGGGAAUAUUGCACAAUGGGCGAAAGCCUGAUGCAGCAACGCCGCGUGAGUGAUGAAGGUCUUCGGAUUGUAAAGCUCUGUCUUUUGGGACGAUAAUGACGGUACCAAAGGAGGAAGCCACGGCUAACUACGUGCCAGCAGCCGCGGUAAUACGUAGGUGGCGAGCGUUGUCCGGAUUUACUGGGCGUAAAGGGUGCGUAGGCGGAUGUUUAAGUGAGAUGUGAAAUACCCGGGCUUAACUUGGGUGCUGCAUUUCAAACUGGAUAUCUAGAGUGCAGGAGAGGAGAAUGGAAUUCCUAGUGUAGCGGUGAAAUGCGUAGAGAUUAGGAAGAACACCAGUGGCGAAGGCGAUUCUCUGGACUGUAACUGACGCUGAGGCACGAAAGCGUGGGUAGCAAACAGGAUUAGAUACCCUGGUAGUCCACGCCGUAAACGAUGAGUACUAGGUGUAGGAGGUAUCGACCCCUUCUGUGCCGCAGUAAACACAUUAAGUACUCCGCCUGGGAAGUACGAUCG
rnacentral:rRNA from 1 species